UCUGGUGGCGAUGGCGAAGAGGUCACACCCGUUCCCAUACCGAACACGGAAGUUAAGCUCUUUAGCGCCAAUGGUAGUUGGGACUUUGUCCCUGUGAGAGUAGGACGUUGCCAGGC
rnacentral:rRNA from 1 species